AGUACGCAAUCUGAUUCCUGCCAGCCCUGUGUCAAUGGCAGUGGCAACUCGAACAUCAUCGUCAGUCCUACUAAACCUGCUCUGCCUCUCUCAUUCCCAGAAAUCUAGGGUUUCAAUCCGACGUCUACAGCAGCAGCAGCAGCAGAAGAUUCCCAUCAUCUGUAGAAGAAUGGCUUCUGCCUCUGCUGGAGGUGGAGAAGAGAAGGUUAAGGCUCCCUACGGCUCCUGGAAAUCCCCGAUCACGGCCGACGUGGUCUCAGGUGCGGAGAAGCGCUUGGGCGGCAUCGCCGUCGAUGGAGCCGGCCGCCUCCUCUGGGUCGAAUCUCGGCCAAGCGAAGCAGGGCGGACUGUUCUUGUUAAGGAACCUGAAAAACCAGGAGAUAACCCUAUAGACAUUACCCCUCAAGGGUUUGCUGUACGGACACUGGCCCAAGAGUAUGGAGGUGGUGCAUUUACAGUUUCUGAGAGUACAGUCAUGUUUUCAAAUUACAAAGAUCAGCACCUCUAUAAGCAAACUAUUGGAGAUCAAUCUCCUGUACCAAUCACUCCAGAUUAUGGUGGUGGACCUAGAGUUUGUUAUGCAGAUGGAGUGGUUGAUUCACGCUUUAACCGUUAUAUAACUGUAAGGGAAGAUCAUCGAGAAAGUACUCAAAAUCCAGCCACAACAAUUGUAGCUAUCGACCUCAGGGAUGGGAAUCCUCAAGAACCAAAAGUAUUAGUUAGUGGCAAUGACUUCUACGCCUUUCCACGUAUCGACCCAAAUGGAAAGAGGAUGGCAUGGAUUGAAUGGGGUCACCCAAACAUGCAUUGGGAUAAAGCAGAACUUUGGGUUGGUUACAUCUCUGAGACUGGAGAAGUUUACAAACGUGUUUGUGUUGCUGGUGGCGAUCCUACAGUCACAGAGUCUCCAAAUGAACCCAGAUGGUCCUCUAAAGGGGAACUGUAUUUCGUUACAGAUAGGAAAACUGGAUUUUGGAAUCUUUAUAAAUGGAGUGAACAUUGUAAUGAGUUGCUAGCACUUUCUUCCUUGGAUGCUGAGUUUUCAAGACCACUGUGGGUUUUUGGCAUCCGGUCUUACGAUUUUUUGCAGAACAAUGGAAAAGACAACUAUAUUGCUUGCAGUUACAGGCAGAAGGGGCAGUCAUAUUUGGGAAUCCUGGAUGAUGUUCAAAACACUUUAUCUUUGCUUGAUGUUCCUUUCACUGAUAUAAGUAACAUUAUUGCAGGACCUUCUUGCCUAUACAUUGAGGGAGCAUCUUCUGUCCAUCCAUUAUCAAUAGCUAAGGUUACAAUAAAUGAGAAUCAAUCAAAAGCAGUUGAAUUCUCGAUUGUUUGGUCCUCUUCUCCAGAUAGCGUGAAGUAUAAACCAUAUUUCAGCUCGCCAGAGAUGAUUGAGUUUCCCACAGAAAAUCCGGGUCAAAAUGCCUAUGCAUAUUUUUAUCCACCAUCUAACCACACUUAUCAAGCUGGCCUGGAAGAAAAGCCUCCCUUGUUAUUGAGAAGCCACGGUGGACCUACAGCUGAAGCACGUGCAAUGUUGGAUCUUGGUAUCCAGUACUGGACUAGUCGAGGAUGGGCUUUUGCCGAUGUUAAUUAUGGUGGAAGUACAGGUUAUGGCAGGGAGUAUCGAGAACGGCUUUUGGAAAAUUGGGGUGUUGUUGAUGUUAAUGAUUGUUGCAGUUGUGCUAGAUUUCUGGUGGAAAGUGGGAAGGUAGAUGGAGAACGACUUUGCAUCACUGGGAAAUCUGCUGGUGGUUAUACAACAUUAGCUUCUCUUGCCUUCAGACAGACUUUCAAGGCCGGUGCUUCCUUGUAUGGUGUCGCUGACUUGACCUCACUGAAAGCAGACACUCAUAAAUUUGAGUCUCGUUACAUUGAUAAUCUUGUUGGGAGUGAAAAGUCAUUAUUUGAGAGGUCACCUAUCAACUUCGUCGAUAAAUUUUCAUGCCCUGUUAUUCUAUUCCAAGGUUUAGAUGACAAGGUUGUGCCGCCGGAUCAAGCCCGUAAAAUCUAUCUGGCCUUGAAGAAGAAAGGGUUACCUGUUGCGCUGGUCGAGUUUGAAGGAGAGCAGCAUGGAUUUCGUAAGGCUGAGAACAUCAAGUUCACCUUGGAGCAACAGAUGGUGUUCUUCGCUCGUAUGGUCGGGCACUUCCAAGUGGCUGAUGAAAUCACUCCUAUCAAAAUUGAUAACUUCGAUUAGGUGACUGUUUCUGUGAAUGGAUGCCAUCUUCCGCAUUCAUUAAUAAUCUAUCAUCUAUGGUUUGUUGAUGAGUACAAGCAGUAAGACAAUUUAUAUCACAUGCAGUCAUCAGCAUUUUUCUGGACAUGCCAAACAGUGCCUCCUGCACAUAAGCUGAGCCUUCGUUGAGAUCCUUCUCGUUCUACUUAAUCUAAACAGGACCUUAACCUAUUUAUGCCAUGAGAAAAUGUGAUGGCUACUCCCUUCAGUCGAGGGGCACUGGUGAGAGGUCUGGGCUGUUCAUCAAAUGGACCCAACUGAAUUUGUGCCCUGGCUUAAAAACCAGGCACACUUCCACUGCACAGCAUUGCUACAGUAUACUUGGAGAGAAAAUUGGAUGCGAUUAGUUUUUGAAUGGACAAAACUAUGCAUCAUUAAAGGAUUGGGAAGCAUUUAAGUCAAAAUGGAGGGCGUUUAGGUAUUUAUAAGGUAAGUGAAGCUCUCUACCAUGUGAUAACUUCCAAUCACGAGGUCUGCUAUUGGGUUUAUAGCCAUUGGAUGGAUCUAGGGUCAUGUUUGGUGAUCCAAACAAUUAAUCUGAUGAAAUACACAACUGAUGGUGGCUGUAUGGGAAAUCUUCAAGAUUUGAAGAUCCUAAAGUUUUGAUCAAUGAUCCACAAUACCAUUGUAAGGAAAUGGUCUAUAGUUAAAUGAUCAAAAGGUUGAAAUAUGCUAACUUUUUUCA